ensembl:lncRNA
UUGUUGUCAUGUUUUAUUCAACCAUUCAACUUCUAUAUAGAAUACAUACAGAAUAUUGUUUGUAUGAUUCUCAUUAGUUUCAUGAAGCAGUUCUGUCCUGAUGAUAUUUAAUUGGUUGUGUUGUAGUGGUUGUGACUGUGGUUUAAUUGUAUGUAAUGCUGCUGAUAUUAAACUGUAUGAUUUGAUCUUUCAGAUCUUCCUCGUGUUGUAGCUGUGUAUGUGUUUGGAUCAGUCGGUGUUGUGUUACUGAACUCUGUUGCUCUGAUGACUGAACUGAUCCUCAAAACAGUUAACGGUGAAGGAGUGACGGGAGACAUGAGGAUCAUCGUCUUCUCCUCUGAAUUUCUCUUCACUUUAAUUCUGAUGAUUUUAAUGGUAUUUGAACCCUGUAAGUAUAACUGAACAUUAAAUACAUUCACUUCAGGUGUUUUGGGAUUUUCAUUUUCAUUUAAGAAUAUGAUCUUUAGGAUGCGUCACUUCUAGAGAUAUUUCUACUGUUUUUCUACUGAUUGUGACUCAGUGAUGCUGUUUGUUCAGUCAUUUCUAAACUGAACUGAAGCUCUUCAUCUUCAUCACUCUCUGUACACCAUUAAAUUAAUUCUCAUGUAUCCAGACAGACAUCUGAGGGUUUACUUGAUUCGUUCUGAGACUGGUGUGUUAUUGAGUGUGAUGUGUGUGAAUCUGAUCAGAUCUGAAUGAUGCUGUAAAUCUCUGUCCUCACAGGGAUCACACCGUGUCUGCAGGAUUGUUCGGUGAGUGUCAGAAACCAGAUGCAGAAGGUGCUGUUGGUGAUUUGAUGUUUCUCUGAGUCUUUAAAUACUUCAUACAGACACACAUCAGUUUCUGGUUACAGACGUCACAGUGGAAAUAGACCUGCUCUAUUCACAUUUCUAUUUGUCACCUGUGAUGAACUGAUUCCACAAACUCUAUAAUAAUAAAGGGACAGAUGUGUAAAUUAAUUCUGCUUCA